CGGCGUAGGGGUGUAGAUGUCCGUCUCCCUUACAAGGAGAGGGUCGGGGGUUCAAGUCCCUCAACGCCCACCA
rnacentral:tRNA from 1 species